UAACAAGGAUUCCCCUAGUAACUGCGAGUGAAGCGGGAAAAGCUCAAAUUUAAAAUCUGGCGUCCUUUGGUCGUCCGAGUUGUAAUCUAGAGAAGUGUUUUCUGUGCUGGACCGUGUACAAGUUUCUUGGAACAGAACAUCAUAGAGGGUGAGAAUCCCGUCUUUGACACGGACUGCCAGUGCUCUGUGAUGCACUCUCGAAGAGUCGCGUUGUUUGGGAAUGCAGCGCAAAAUGGGUGGUGAAUUCCAUCUAAAGCUAAAUAUUGGCGAGAGACCGAUAGCGAACAAGUACCGUGAGGGAAAGAUGAAAAGCACUUUGGAAAGAGAGUUAAACAGUACGUGAAAUUGUUGAAAGGGAAACGCUUGAAGUCAGUCGCGUCUUGCGGAACUCAGCCUUGCUUUUUGCUUGGUGUAUUUUCUGUUCGACGGGCCAGCAUCGAUUUCGACCGUCGGAUAAAGUGUGAGGGAAUGUGGCAUCCUCGGAUGUGUUAUAGCCCUCGCUCGCAUACGACGGUUGGGAUCGAGGACCGCAGCACGCCUUUUUGGCCGGGGUUCGCCCACGUACGUGCUUAGGAUGCUGGCGUAAUGGCUUUAAACGAC
rnacentral:rRNA from 1 species